rnacentral:rRNA from 1 species
ACGUAGGGGGCAAGCGUUAUCCGGAUUCAUUGGGCGUAAAGCGCGCGCAGGCGGGCCGCUAAGCGGGACCUCUAAUCUUGGGGCUCAACCUCAAGCCGGGUCCCGAACUGGCAGCCUCGAGUGCGGUAGGGGUAAGCGGAAUUCCCGGUGUAGCGGUGGAAUGCGCAGAUAUCGGGAAGAACACCGAUGGCGAAGGCAGCUUACUGGGCCGACACUGACGCUGAGGCGCGAAAGCUAGGGGAGCGA